rnacentral:rRNA from 1 species
UACGAAGGGGGCUAGCGUUGCUCGGAAUCACUGGGCGUAAAGGGCGCGUAGGCGGGUCUUUAAGUCAGGGGUGAAAUCCUGGAGCUCAACUCCAGAACUGCCUUUGAUACUGAAGAUCUUGAGUCCGGGAGAGGUGAGUGGAACUGCGAGUGUAGAGGUGAAAUUCGUAGAUAUUCGCAAGAGCACCAGUGGCGAAGGCGGCUCACUGGCCCGGUACUGACGCUGAGGCACGAAAGCGUGGGGAGCAAACAGG